rnacentral:rRNA from 1 species
GGCUAACGCUGGCGGCGCGCCUAACACAUGCAAGUCGAACGAACCCUUCGGGGUUAGUGGCAGACGGGUGAGUAACGCGUGGAUAUUGUGCCUCUUUGCUGGGGAUACCGUUCCGAAAGGAACGUUAAUACCGAAUGUGCUUGUUUGGCGGCAUCGUCGAGCAAGUAAACUGUUAGGGUGAAGAGAGCAGUCCGAGUUCUAUCAGCUAGUUGGUGAGGUAACGGCUCACCAAGGCUACGACGGAUAACUGGUCUGAGAGGAUGAUCAGUCACACUGGAACUGAGACACGGUCCAGACUCCUACGGGAGGCAGCAGUGAGGAAUCUUGCACAAUGGGCGAAAGCCUGAUGCAGCGACGCCGCGUGAGGGAUGAAGGCCUUCGGGUUGUAAACCUCUGUCAGUAGGGAAGAAGAAUGACGGUACCUACUGAGGAAGCUUCGGCUAACUACGUG